rnacentral:rRNA from 1 species
GACGAACGCUGGCGGCGUGCUUAACACAUGCAAGUCGAACGGAAAGGCCCUGCUUUUGUGGGGUGCUCGAGUGGCGAACGGGUGAGUAACACGUGAGUAACCUGCUCUUGACUUUGGGAUAACUUCAGGAAACUGGGGCUAAUACCGGAUAGGAGCCCCUGCUGCAUGGUGGGGGUUGGAUAGUUUCGGCGGUUGGGGAUGGACUCGCGGCUUAUCGGCUUGUUGGUUGGGUAGUGGCUUACCGAGGCUUUGAAGGAUAGCCGGCAUGAGAGGGUGGCCGGCGACAUUGGGACUGAGGUACGGCCCAGACGCGUACAGGAGGCAGCGGUGGCGAAUAUGGCACAGUGGGCGGAAGCGUGAUGAAGCGACGCUGGGGGCGGGAUGACGGCCUUCGGGGUGUGAACCGCAUUCGCCUGAGACGAAGCGUGUGUGACGGUAAUGAGUGAAGAAGCACCGGCUAACUACGUG